CCUACGGGAGGCAGCAGUGGGGAAUAUUGCACAAUGGGGGAAACCCUGAUGCAGCAACGCCGCGUGAGUGAAGAAGUAUUUCGGUAUGUAAAGCUCUAUCAGCAGGGAAGAAGAUGACGGUACGUGAGUAAGAAGCCCCGGCUAACUACGUGCCAGCAGCCGCGGUAAUACGUAGGGGGCAAGCGUUAUCCGGAUUUACUGGGUGUAAAGGGAGCGUAGACGGUGCGACAAGUCUGAAGUGAAAGCCCGGGGCUCAACCGCGGGACUGCAUUGGAAACUGCCUGACUGGAGUGCAGUAGAGGAAAGCGGAAUUCCUAGUGUAGCGGUGAAAUGCGUAGAUAUUAGGAAGAACACCAGUGGCGAAGGCGGCUUGCUGGACAGUAACUGACGUUGAGGCUCGAAAGCGUGGGGAGCAAACAGGAUUAGAUACCCUGGUAGUC
rnacentral:rRNA from 1 species